UGGGUGUUUAGGCAGCUGGACGAGUGUUGGUGUGAUAUUUAUUCCACUUCCUGGUGAUUCUCCACUACUUUAAGUAUCAAAAUCAAGCUUUUUACAUGGCGAUUCUUCCUGUUUUGAUUAGAAUGACAAAGAAGUCGUCAUAGGUAGUCAGUUCACUAAGUUCUAUUCAGCUCACUGGAGCUGGUAGACUAGCUCACUCAGCUGGGAACAGCUGGAGACCAGCUCAAUCCGGUGAACGGUGCAUUUUGGUUCGGAUCAGUGUGGACGAGUCGGGGACGGUUAUUGGGCGAGCCGAUGGUCCGGGUAUGGGACGGUUCGACCAAAUUGGUCUUUGACUUGGGACAGGGAGUGGACAAGUUCCCAGAGUGUGAGCUGAGGCUCAGUGACCGAAUUUUCAAAGGAAGAAAGGGGGAGAAACCGCCAAUGGGCGGUUAUGGGGCGGUUAUGGGGCGGUUUUGGGAAGAAGGAAUCUGAUCCUUGGUAACUGCCACCCCAGGCGGUUGGGGGCAGUUUAAACUCGGUCCCUCUCUCUCUUUCCUGCCAUUCUGGUCGAUUUAUUUCAUCUGGAGACAGAGAGAAACACAGAGAAAACUCAGG
rnacentral:lncRNA from 1 species